AUUCAACUGACGAGUCCCAAAUAGGACGAAGUAAAGCGCUUUCUGGAU
rnacentral:hammerhead_ribozyme from 1 species